rnacentral:rRNA from 1 species
GAAACCUGGUUGAUCCUGCCAGUAACAUACGCUUGUCUCAAAGAUUAAGCCAUGCAUGUCUAAGUAUAAACAAAUCUAUACGUGAAACUGCGAAUGGCUCAUUAUAUCAGUUAUAGUUUAUUUGAUGGUCUUUGCUACUUGGAUAACCGUAGUAAUUCUAGAGCUAAUACAUGCAUUAAACCCUGACUUUUGAA